rnacentral:pre_miRNA from 1 species
UCAACUGUGGCUGUGGUGCAUUGUAGUUGCAUUGUAUGGGAAGGGAUGUACAAUGCAUCUGCAGUGCAGCACAGAUACAGUGAA